UCAAGCUACAAAGGGCGCAAGGAGAAUGCCUUGGCACUGGGAGCCGAUGAAAGACGUGGUAAGCUGCGAUAAGCUUCGGGGAGGAGCAAACAUCCUUUGAUCCGGAGAUUUCUGAAUGAGGAAACUCACUGGAGUUCAUACUCCAGUAUCCUGUACUGAAUCCAUAGGUACAGGAGGGGAACCGCCUGAACUGAAACAUCUAAGUAGGGCGAGGAAGAGACAUCAAACGAGAUUCCGUAAGUAGUGGCGAGCGAACGCGGAAGAGGGCAAACCGAGAGUAGAAAUACUUUCGGGGUACGGACUGCUUUUAGGACUUAAUCUGUUAACCGAACGGCAUGGGAAGGCCGGUCAGAGAGUGUGAGAACCACGUAGGUGAAAACGACAAGAGCUGAGCGGUUUCCAGAGUACGGCCAGACACGUGAAACCUGGUCGGAAGAUGGGGGGACCACCCUCCAACCCUAAAUACUACCCAGUGACCGAUAGCGUAUAGUACUGUGAAGGAAAGGUGAAAAGCACCCCGGGAGGGGAGUGAAAAAGAACCUGAAACCCUGUGCCUACAAGCACCUAGAGCGCGUCAAUGCGUGAUAGGGUACUUUUUGUAGAACGGUCCGGCGAGCGAUUGUAUGCAGCAAGGUUAAGGACUUAAGGUCUGGAGCCGAAGCGAAAGCGAGUUUGAAAAGGGCGUUAAGUUGCAUAUAAUGGGCCCGAAACCGGGUGACCUACCCAUGGUCAGGUUGAAGUGGAAGUAAAAUUCCAUGGAGGACCGAACCGACCUCCGUUGAAAAGGCGGCGGAUGAACUGUGGGUAGCGGAGAAAUUCCAAUCGAACCCGGAGAUAGCUGGUUCUCCCCGAAAUAGUUUUAGGACUAGCCUCAAGUUAGAUACCUGGAGGUAAAGCACUGAAUAGCCUAGCGGCCGAGAGGUUAGCGAAGCUUAUCAAACUCAGAAUGCCAGAGUAUUGAUGCUUGGGAGUCAGACAGUGUCAGAUAAAUGUCAUUGUCAAAAGGGAAACAGCCCAGAUCUACAGCUAAGGUCCCAAAGUCAGGUUAAGUGGAAAACGAUGUGAAGAUACGCAGACAACCAGGAUGUUGGCUCAGAAGCAGCCACUCAUUCAAAGAGUGCGUAAUAGCUCACUGGUCGAGCGUCUUUGCGCGGAGAAUUUAACGGGGCUAAACCUGACACCGAAGCUUAGGCAAUACAGCAAUGUAUUGGGUAGGGGAGCGUUGUAUACGCGGUGAAACAGUAGCGCAAGCGGCUGUGGAGUGUAUAGAAGUGAGAAUGCCGGAAUGAGUAGCGCGAAUGCAGUGAGAAUCUGCAUGGCCGAAAGCCUCAGGUUUCUGGAGGAAGGUUCGUCCGCUCCAGGUUAGUCGGGAGCUAAGGUGAGGCCUAACGGCGUAGCCGAUGCACAGACGGUAGAGAUUCCGUCACCACCAAAAGAGUUAAGCACAGGGACACAUUUGAAGUCUCAGAGCCGGGUGUUGGUUCCGGUAGAGAUCGAGGGAAAUUAGUACCGAAGUCUGAGAUGGAAGAUGGCGAGAAAAGCUGUGUGUAUUUCUGAGGUGCCCGUACCGCAAACCGACACAGGUAGGUAGGAAGAAGAUUCUAAGGCCAACGGGAGAAGGGUUGUUAAGGAACUCGGCAAAUUGACCCCGUAACUUCGGGAGAAGGGGUGCUCCAGAGAUGGAGCCGCAGAGAAUCGGCCCAAGCAACUGUUUACCAAAAACACAGGUUUGUGCUAAAUCGAAAGAUGACGUAUACGAGCUGACGCCUGCCCGGUGCUGGAAGGUUAAGAGGAGAUGUGCAAGCAUUGAAUCGAAGCCCCAGUGAACGGCGGCCGUAACUAUAACGGUCCUAAGGUAGCGAAAUUCCUUGUCAGGUAAG
rnacentral:rRNA from 1 species